UAGUGAGUUUGAUCCUGGCUCAGAUUGAACGCUGGCGGCAUGCCUUACACAUGCAAGUCGAACGGUAACGCGGGGCAACCUGGCGACGAGUGGCGAACGGGUGAGUAAUGCAUCGGAACGUGCCCAGUAGUGGGGGAUAGCUCGGCGAAAGCCGGAUUAAUACCGCAUACGACCUACGGGUGAAAGCAGGGGGAUCACAAGACCUUGCGCUAUUGGAGCGGCCGAUGUCAGAUUAGGUUGUUGGUGGGGUAAAAGCCUACCAAGCCGACGAUCUGUAGCUGGUCUGAGAGGACGACCAGCCACACUGGGGACUGAGACACGGCCCAGACUCCUACGGGGAGGCAGCAGUGGGGAAUAUUGCACAAUGGGGCGCAAGCCUGAUGCAGCAACGCCGCGUGA
rnacentral:rRNA from 1 species